GAUGAAGAACGUAGCAAAAUGCGAUAAGUAAUGUGAAUUGCAGAAUUCAGUGAAUCAUCGAAUCUUUGAACGCACAUUGCGCCCGCCAGUAUUCUGGCGGGCAUGCCUGUUCGAGCGUCAUUUCAACCCUCAAGCUCAGCUUGGUGUUGGGACUCGCGGUAACCCGCGUUCCCCAAAUCGAUUGGCGGUCACGUCAAGCUUCCAUAGCGUAGUAAUCAUACACCUCGUUACUGGUAAUCGUCGCGGCCACGCCGUAAAACCCCAACUUCUGAAUGUUGACCUCGGAUCAGGUAGGAAUACCCGCUGAACUUAAGCAUAUCAAUAAGCGGAGGA
rnacentral:misc_RNA from 1 species